CUGGUAACCUAACAGGGAAGAUACUAUGAUCACGAAGGUGGUUUUCCCAGGGUGAGGCUCAGCAAUUGCACUGUGGAUUUGCUGACCCCUGCGAUUUCCCCAAAUGCAGGAAACUCGACUGGAUAAUUUGUGGUAGUAGGGGACUGCAUUUGUGCUCUCCCCUG
ensembl:snRNA U1 U1 spliceosomal RNA